GAUUCAUUGGUGUAGUGGUUAUCACGCGUCGUUCACACCGACGAGGUCCUCGGUUCGAUCCCGAGAUGAAUCA
rnacentral:tRNA from 1 species